UGGGGAAUAUUGCGCAAUGGGCGAAAGCCUGACGCAGCAACGCCGCGUGCGGGAUGACGGCCUUCGGGUUGUAAACCGCUUUCAGCAGGGACGAAGGGUUUCUGACGGUACCUGCAGAAGAAGCACCGGCUAACUACGUGCCAGCAGCCGCGGUGAUACGUAGGGUGCGAGCGUUGUCCGGAAUUAUUGGGCGUAAAGAGCUUGUAGGCGGUCCGUUGCGUCGGAAGUGAAAACUCGGGGCUUAACCCCGAGCCUGCUUUCGAUACGGGCGGACUUGAGGGAUGUAGGGGAGAACGGAAUUCCUGGUGGAGCGGUGGAAUGCGCAGAUAUCAGGAGGAACACCAGUGGCGAAGGCGGUUCUCUGGACAUUUCCUGACGCUGAGAAGCGAAAGCGUGGGGAGCAAACAGG
rnacentral:rRNA from 1 species